GCUUAUGCCAAAUCCUGACAUGACGCAACAGGAAUCAAGAUUCGUCGGACCAGGCAAUGUUUGUUUUUUUUACUCCUCAAUUGUCCAGUGUUGGUGAUUGCGUGCCCACUGGAGCCCCUUCUUGUUUUUAGCUGAUAGGAGUGGAACCUGGUGUGGUCGUCUGCUGCAAUAGCCCAUCCGUGACAAGGACGGAUGAGUUGUGAUUUCCGAGAUGUCGUUGUGCGCCAUUAGUUGCCUGUUUGUGGUCCGCCUGUAAGCUUGCACUAUUCUUGCCAUUUUCAAUCAACCUCUCAUCAACAAGCUGUUUUCGCCCACAGGACUGCUGCUGAUUGGAUGUUUUUUUGUUUGUCUCACGUCUCAGUAAACCCUAGACACGGUUGUGCGUGAAAAGCCCAGGAGGCAGACCGUUUCUAAGAUACUGGAACCUGCAUGCCUGGCACCGACGAUCAAACCAUGCUCAAAGUCGCUUAGGUCAAUCGUUUCACCCAUUCUAACCUUCAAUCGAACAAUAACUGAAUGCCUCGAUGACUGUCCGUCUGCUUUAUAUUGCAAGCCACAUGACUCACUAUCUAAAGGCACGACCCAAUUUUGUGAACGGGUUGGCGUACCUAAGAAACUUGCCACUGAGUGUAUAUUUGUUUCAGUCUGCUUCCUGAAGAGGCCUUGGCGGUUGCCCAGGAGCUGUGCGUGCUGCCCACACUCCACCACACGCCGCUGGUCCAGCACAGCCACGGCGUCAGCGUUCUGGAUGGUGGAGAGGCGGUGGGCGAUGAUCAGCACUGUGCGCCCAUCCAUGAGCCGCUCUAGAGCCUCCUGGACCAGGAACUCAUUCUCUGCAUCCAGGGCACUGAGGAAGAGGGGGAUGGAAAAGAGAGGGCAAAAGUGAGAGGUCCAUGAGUUAUAGCUCACAUGUCAUUGGGUUGUUUGACCCUGCUUCACCCAGCUGAUUGACCUUGCUUAACUGUCCAAAACGGAGGAAGAGCGACUCAUGUAAAAUGUGAUUAGACCAUGCACAAUGUCUUACCUUGUAGCCUCAUCAAGUAGAAGUAUCUUGGGAUUCUGAGAGAAGGGAGAGAAUGCAUACAUUACAACAUUUGCCCAUUUGACUAAAACAUACCAUUUUUGAUGCAUGUAAUCGGGUGUAAUUAAAAAUACCUUAAGCAGAGCCCUUGCAAUAGCAAUUCUCUGUUUCUGACCACCUGUUGGUUAAAGCAAAACUAGUCAUUACAUUAAAGCUGUUAAAGAAGCGAUGGUUGUAGUUAUGAA